rnacentral:lncRNA from 10 species
AGGUCAGGCAUUCGAGACCAGCCUGAACAACAUGGUGAAACCCCGUCUCUACUAAAAAUACAAAAAAUUAGCCAGAGACAGGGUUUCACCAUGUUGUACAGGCUAGUCUCCAACCCCUGGGCUUAAGCAAUCCUUCUGCCUCGGCCUCCCAAAGUGCUGGGAUUACAGAGAUGCUCAAGCACUGAAUUGUCUUAAGAAAACAAGUAAGGUUUUGUCACCUAUCCUAUUUCUCACUGCAAGUUGAAAAAAAUCAAAUCCAAACACCACCACCCCUUCUAUGACAACAAACGGCUGUGGAGGUAAUCUUAUUUUCCUAAGGGUAGUUUCAUGAUGACAGUGUCAAAAAAUUACUGUGGAUAAAGAAAAAAUUGUCUCAAUGAAAUAGAAUUUUUCACUGAACACAGAAACCAUCUCAAUAGUUGCUGCUCCCUGGUUUCCAGGCCACGCAACAGACAUCAAACCAGGAAGCCAAACUUUCAUGGACCUGUG